UACGAAGGGGGCUAGCGUUGCUCGGAAUUACUGGGCGUAAAGCGCACGUAGGCGGAUUGUUAAGUCGGGGGUGAAAUCCUGGAGCUCAACUCCAGAACUGCCUUCGAUACUGGCGAUCUCGAGUUCGGGAGAGGUGAGUGGAACUGCGAGUGUAGAGGUGAAAUUCGUAGAUAUUCGCAAGAACACCAGUGGCGAAAGCGGCUCACUGGCCCGAUACUGACGCUGAGGUGCGAAAGCGUGGGGAGCAAACAGG
rnacentral:rRNA from 1 species